GGGAGCAGAUAGCAACGACGGAGGAUUACGAAAAAAAAAAAAAUAAUCGAAAUUAAGACGCGUGAGAUCGCGCGGAAACUCGACGACGGACGGACGGACGGCGCGCGGAGCGUGUCAGAGCAACGUCGACGGCGUUCUGACGGACGAGGAAAACGUUUGUUCGGAUGACGACGAUAAUGACGGUAGCGGCGGCGUAGAGUACAUGCUGCGUCGGACGAAAACUGUU